rnacentral:lncRNA from 1 species
CUUGGGUAGAGCCGCCAGGGCGCUGCUGCCGAGUGGGUGGGAGUCCCCGUGGCUGCUGACAUGACGUCUCAAUGUUCGUGCCUCAGAGCUCUAGGGCUGGGCCGGGAGGGAGGGCUACGACCAGAUGCUGCGGAUUGGAAGAAGAGUCAUUUCGGAAGCCCUCGAGAAAAACAGUCUGAACUCAUGAGUGUGGAAAGCGGAUGACGACAGCCAGGUGUGAUGAUGUACAUCUUUAAUCCUCGUACCUGGGAGGUGGAGGCAGGUGGAUCUGGGUUUGAGGACAACCUGGUUUACAUAGCGAGCGCCACAGUGAGACCUUGCCUCAAAUAAGGAGUGGGUCCAAGCUGGCUGACUCUGGGAUGGACUAGAGAGCUGUACCUUAUACAGAGGGAGAACCGGAGGAGCCCAGUCAAACCCAUUGUUUCCUUCAGUCUGGUCCAUGCCAAAUGCCUUGAGAAGCAACAACGUCAACAACACGUAACUCGAGGCUGGGGCUUUAGUGAGUGGUAGAGGACUUGCCUAGGAUGUCUAAGCCCUGAUACUCCUCAGCUUUGCAGACACCUCGACAGUCCCCCUGGAACCGGAGGUGCAGGCGGUUGUGACUCGCCAUAUGGGUGGCAGGAACUGAAUCCUGUCCAAGAGCAACAAGUGCUCUUAUUUGCUGGGUCAGUUCUCCAGCUCUGUUGUCUCUCUUCUUUUCCAAGAGGAAGAAAAG